rnacentral:rRNA from 1 species
UACGUAGGGACCGAGCGUUGUCCGGAAUCAUUGGGCGUAAAGGGCGUGUAGGCGGAGAUGUAAGUCUAUUCUGAAAGCUCCUGGCUAAACUGGGAGAGGCGAAUGGAGACUGCAUAUCUAGAGUGAGGAAGAGGAAAGUGGAAUUCCGCGUGUAGUGGUGAAAUGCGUAGAGAUGCGGAGGAACACCAGUGGCGAAAGCGACUUUCUGGUCCUUAACUGACGCUGAGGCGCGAAAGCAUGGGGAGCGAACGGGG